GGGAAGGUGGCUCAGUGGUAGAGCACUUGCCUUGAAUGCCUGAGGCCCUGGGUUC
rnacentral:tRNA from 1 species